UGGCGCAGCUAACGCAUUAAGUUAUCCGCCUGGGGAGUACGGUCGCAAGAUUAAAACUCAAAGGAAUUGACGGGGGCCUGCACAAGCGGUGGAGCAUGUGGUUUAAUUCGAAGCAACGCGCAGAACCUUACCAACGUUUGACAUCCCUAUCGCGGAUCGUGGAGACACUUUCCUUCAGUUCGGCUGGAUAGGUGACAGGUGCUGCAUGGCCGUCGUCAGCUCGUGUCGUGAGAUGUUGGGUUAAGUCCCGCAACGAGCGCAACCCUCGCCUUUAGUUGCCAGCAUUUAGUUGGGUACUCUAAAGGAACCGCCGGUGAUAAGCCGGAGGAAGGUGGGGAUGACGUCAAGUCCUCAUGGCCCUUACGCGUUGGGCUACACACGUGCUACAAUGGCGACUACAGUGGGCAGCCACCUCGCGAGAGGGAGCUAAUCUCCAAAAGUCGUCUCAGUUCGGAUCGUUCUCUGCAACUCGAGAGCGUGAAGGCGGAAUCGCUAGUAAUCGCGGAUCAGCAUGCCGCGGUGAAUACGUUCCCAGGCCUUGUACACACCGCCCGUCACACCAUGGGAGUUGGAUUCACUCGAAGGCGUUGAGCUAACCGUAAGGAGGCAGGCGACCACAGUAGGUUUAGCGACUGGGGUGAAGUCG
rnacentral:rRNA from 1 species